UACGUAGGGGGCAAGCGUUGUCCGGAUUUAUUGGGCGUAAAGAGCGUGUAGGCGGCCAUACAGGUCAGCUGUGAAACUCGAGGCUCAACCUCGAGACGUCGGUUGAAACCGUAUGGCUAGAGUCCGGAAGAGGAGAGUGGAAUUCCCGGUGUAGCGGUGAAAUGCGCAGAUAUCGGGAAGAACACCCGUGGCGAAGGCGGCUCUCUGGGACGGUACUGACGCUGAGACGCGAAAGCGUGGGGAGCGAACAGG
rnacentral:rRNA from 1 species